rnacentral:misc_RNA from 1 species
AAAAUGCGAUAAGUAGUGUGAAUUGCAGAAUUCAGUGAAUCAUCGAAUCUUUGAACGCACAUUGCGCCCCUUGGUAUUCCAUGGGGCAUGCCUGUUCGAGCGUCAUUUGUACCCUCAAGCUCUGCUUGGUGUUGGGUGUUUGUCCCCGUCUCCGCGCGUGGACUCGCCCCAAAGUGAUUGGCAGCCGGCGUACUGGUCCCGGAGCGCAGCACAUGUCGCGCAAACGAGUGCCUUGGUACGGCGGCGUCCAUAAGCCCCUCUCUCACGCUCUUGACCUCGGAUCAGGUAUGUAUACCCGCUGAACUUAAGC